UACGUAGGGUCCGAGCGUUGUCCGGAAUUAUUGGGCGUAAAGGGCUCGUAGGCGGUUUGUUGCGUCGGGAGUGAAAACUUCGAGCUUAACUCGGAGCUUGCUUUCGAUACGGGCAGACUUGAGGCAUUCAGGGGAGAACGGAAUUUCUGGUGUAGCGGUGAAAUGCGCAGAUAUCAGAAGGAACACCGGUGGCGAAGGCGGUUCUCUGGGAAGGUUCUGACGCUGAGGAGCGAAAGUGUGGGGAGCGAACAGG
rnacentral:rRNA from 1 species